CAAGAGGGCAGUCUGCAUUCUAACAGGACACACAGAUGCAUAGAGAAACUGCUCUUCCCUGAGUCACAUGGUCACCUUGGUACUCCCAGGCUCAUCACACCUGCUGGCUCUUAGUGAUUAAUUUCAGGGAUGCACAUAAUCCAAAGGUUCCAGGCAUUAUACGCAUUGGAUGGGGUCUGCAGCAGUACUGAGGUCACACGUAGCCCCUGCCCUCUCAGCUCCGGGUCUAGUAGAGA